AAAUUGAAGAGUUUGAUCAUGGCUCAGAUUGAACGCUGGCGGCAGGCUUAACACAUGCAAGUCGAACGGUAACAGGAAGCAGCUUGCUGCUUUGCUGACGAGUGGCGGACGGGUGAGUAAUGUCUGGGAAACUGCCUGAUGGAGGGGGAUAACUACUGGAAACGGUGGCUAAUACCGCAUAACGUCGCAAGACCAAAGAGGGGGACCUUCGGGCCUCUUGCCAUCAGAUGUGCCCAGAUGGGAUUAGCUUGUUGGUGAGGUAACGGCUCACCAAGGCGACGAUCCCUAGCUGGUCUGAGAGGAUGACCAGCCACACUGGAACUGAGACACGGUCCAGACUCCUACGGGAGGCAGCAGUGGGGAAUAUUGCACAAUGGGCGCAAGCCUGAUGCAGCCAUGCCGCGUGUAUGAAGAAGGCCUUCGGGUUGUAAAGUACUUUCAGCGGGGAGGAAGGUGUUGUGGUUAAUAACCACAGCAAUUGACGUUACCCGCAGAAGAAGCACCGGCUAACUCCGUGCCAGCAGCCGCGGUAAUACGGAGGGUGCAAGCGUUAAUCGGAAUUACUGGGCGUAAAGCGCACGCAGGCGGUCUGUCAAGUCGGAUGUGAAAUCCCCGGGCUCAACCUGGGAACUGCAUUCGAAACUGGCAGGCUUGAGUCUUGUAGAGGGGGGUAGAAUUCCAGGUGUAGCGGUGAAAUGCGUAGAGAUCUGGAGGAAUACCGGUGGCGAAGGCGGCCCCCUGGACAAAGACUGACGCUCAGGUGCGAAAGCGUGGGGAGCAAACAGGAUUAGAUACCCUGGUAGUCCACGCCGUAAACGAUGUCUACUUGGAGGUUGUGCCCUUGAGGCGUGGCUUCCGGAGCUAACGCGUUAAGUAGACCGCCUGGGGAGUACGGCCGCAAGGUUAAAACUCAAAUGAAUUGACGGGGGCCCGCACAAGCGGUGGAGCAUGUGGUUUAAUUCGAUGCAACGCGAAGAACCUUACCUGGUCUUGACAUCCACAGAACUUUCCAGAGAUGGACU
rnacentral:rRNA from 1 species